UACGUAGGGUGCAAGCGUUAAUCGGAAUCACUGGGCGUAAAGGGCGCGUAGGCGGCUUUAUAAGUCGGGGGUGAAAGCCUGUGGCUCAACCACAGAAUUGCCUUCGAUACUGUAGAGCUUGAGACCGGAAGAGGUAAGUGGAACUGCGAGUGUAGAGGUGAAAUUCGUAGAUAUUCGCAAGAACACCAGUGGCGAAGGCGGCUUACUGGUCCGGUUCUGACGCUGAGGCGCGAAAGCGUGGGGAGCAAACAGG
rnacentral:rRNA from 1 species